rnacentral:misc_RNA from 1 species
AACGGUCUAUACCUGCGGUACCUGCGGAAGGAUCAUUACCGAGCGCGCCCCCCGUAAAAACGGGGGCACCUCCCGUCCUUUGCUGGCCCCCCCUAAAAUUGGGGGCUUUUCAGACUCUGCUUCGGCGGGGCGACCCGCCGGAACACCCUCAAGAAAAUUCAUCCAAACCGUUCCGUCCGAGCGCUUUUUAAAAAAUGAAGCGAAAAACUUUUAACAACGGAUCUCUAGAUCGGAAGAGCA